UGCAGUUGAGCUAGGUGGCAAUUGGCUAGCAUGCACAAAUGCAAUGAGUUUAUUACCAGAAUUAACCAGCGACCGCGAGGAAACGGACAAGAAACUCGUUGCAUUUGUGCGUACUAGCCAAUUGCCA
rnacentral:miRNA from 1 species